UUCAAUUAGGUGUUCUUUAUUCAUAUUGUUGAUGAAAUAUUACACAUCAAUGCAGAGUAAUUUGCUAUCGCUCACAAUCAUACCGUUUGAUGGUGCCUGGCCUGGAAUUUCCACCCAAUGAGAAAAACAUAGGAGCACAUCUGUGGUGCCACAAUUACAAGUUAAACAUUUUGUGAUUAAUCAAAAUGAUGAGGUGAAUAUUAAUGAGCUACGUUACAUUAUUCAUUUGUUUUCCUUUCUGUGCCACAUCCUUAUUUUAAUGUCCUAAACAAUGGCAUGUGCUCACAAAAACAUACGUAUAGUAAGCUAUCAAAAGAGUACAGUAGGUCAAAAUAAAAAUCAAUCAAUAAUUGCUCCAAACAAGUGGUUUCUAUGUUUUAUCUUUACAGUCCAGCGUUUUGCAUCUCAAUAAAAUCCUAACACGUGUCUCCCAUAUUAUCACCAGGGAAAUGCAGGGGCAACUGUGACAAAAUCUGUUUGCACAACUGAUGUACAACCAAUUUGACAAAAGUGUUACACCACUGUUGCGGAGACAGCACAAUGGUUGUGUGAACAUUUGUGUGCAGACAAACUCCUUUGGAUCACAAAAAUAACAAUUGUAUCACAUCCAUACCACAUCCAUUGUGUAAAAUACUUUGUACCUCAACUUUAGUGUGUAUGGAGCCUAUUUGUUUUAGGUAGCGAACAACGCUGUGACCUGCUUGUUCCAUGACGGCAAUAGAGGACACCAUUGCUACAGUAACAGCUUUGCCAGAGUUGCAAGCUGCUGGUUUGUAAAUCUAUGUUGAUAGUUUUUAAUUGAACAAUAUUAUUUGCCGCGGGGAGAGGUGUGGGUCAGAUUGGAAAAUAUUCACCCUGAACAGCCCAUUGCACUGUAUAUUAGUAUCUCUCAGACCUAGGAUGUGUCUCAAAUGGCAGCCCCAGCCACUUGCUUGUUUCCAUAUUGUCACAUAGCAACAGAGCUGUGUCUUGAAUACAGUCUGAAAACUACGGGUAGCUAAUAUCUUUGUAUAUCUGUUGUAUGUACACAUUCUUUCUAGUUUCCCAAAAUGGGGAGGAACUACUGUUUCGAUAAUAUAUGGCAUUUUAAAUCUUUAUUUUAACAGUAAACAAUUAUUAAACACAUUAAACGAUAAAAACACAUUCCAGUCAUCUUGAAACAUGUCAUUUUUGGUUACAUAUCAGAGAGGUAAAAAUCCACAGGCUGUGUGUCCAGAGAGAGUUCCGAAGAUUAUGUCAGAAAGAGUUCUGUAGAUAUGUCACUGUUUGUGCUCCGCUCCUAUUGGCUCAUCUCCUCAGGCUUGGGCGGGGCAGUCUCGUGGAGGGUCGAAUGGGGAGGAGUCAAACGGGCAACGCUGAGGGAUUGAGCUGUAAUAGAACUCUUUCUUCUUCUGAGAAAGAGAGAGAGAG
rnacentral:lncRNA from 1 species